GACGAACGCUGGCGGCGUGCCUAAUACAUGCAAGUCGAGCGGACGGUUGGGAGCUUGCUCCCAGACCGUCAGCGGCGGACGGGUGAGUAACACGUGGGCAACCUGCCUGUAAGACUGGGAUAACUCCGGGAAACCGGGGCUAAUACCGGAUAACUCUUUCCCUCACAUGAGGGAAAGCUGAAAGAUGGCAUCUCGCUAUCACUUACAGAUGGGCCCGCGGCGCAUUAGCUAGUUGGUGAGGUAACGGCUCACCAAGGCGACGAUGCGUAGCCGACCUGAGAGGGUGAUCGGCCACACUGGGACUGAGACACGGCCCAGACUCCUACGGGAGGCAGCAGUAGGGAAUCUUCCGCAAUGGACGAAAGUCUGACGGAGCAACGCCGCGUGAGUGAUGAAGGUUUUCGGAUCGUAAAACUCUGUUGUCAGGGAAGAACAAGUACCGGAGUAACUGCCGGUACCUUGACGGUACCUGACCAGAAAGCCACGGCUAACUACGUG
rnacentral:rRNA from 1 species